GACAGAGGGGGCAAGCGUUGCUCGGAAUCACUGGGCGUAAAGGGCGCGUAGGCGGGACAGCAAGUCAAUCGUGAAAUCCUCCGGCCCAACCGGAGAACGUCGGUUGAUACUGCUAUUCUUGAGGGGUGCAGAGGAGACUGGAAUUCCCGGUGUAGCGGUGAAAUGUGUAGAGAUCGGGAGGAACACCGGUGGCGAAGGCGGGUCUCUGGGCAUCUCCUGACGCUGAGGCGCGAAAGCGUGGGGAGCAAACGGG
rnacentral:rRNA from 1 species